CGGGUGAGUAACACGUAUCCAACCUGCCGUCUACUCUUGGACAGCCUUCUGAAAGGAAGAUUAAUACAAGAUGGCAUCAUGAGUCCACAUGUUCACAUGAUUAAAGGUAUUCCGGUAGACGAUGGGGAUGCGUUCCAUUAGAUAGUAGGCGGGGUAACGGCCCACCUAGUCUUCGAUGGAUAGGGGUUCUGAGAGGAAGGUCCCCCACAUUGGAGCUGAGACACGGUCCAA
rnacentral:rRNA from 1 species